rnacentral:tRNA from 1 species
GGGGAUAUAGCUCAGUUGGGAGAGCGCCUGCAUGGCAUGCAGGAGGCCGUGGGUUCGAGUCCCAUUAUCUCCA